rnacentral:rRNA from 1 species
CCUACGGGAGGCAGCAGCUAAGAAUCUUCCUCAAUGGGGGAAACCCUGAAGGAGCGACACUGCGUGCAGGAUGAAGGCCCUUUGGGUUGUAAACUGCUUUUGUAGGGGAGAAAUAACCGAAUGGGAUGAUAGUACCCUACGAAUAAGCCCGGCAACUACAGGA